ensembl:lncRNA
GCAGAUUAUGUGUUUAUUUCAUCAACUAUCUUAGAGGAUUAAUUAAGAAAUAGAGCGGGGAAAUUGGAAUCAAGGAAAAAUAGGAAGCACGCUUAUUAACAGCCCUUUUGUUUGCCUUUCUAAUUGCUUCCUUCAAACACUUUGUCCCCACUAUUGCAGCCAACAGAAGGCUUCAUGUAGCUGUGACUCAGGUGAAUGAUGUUUAAUUUGGUGAGCACCAGUGGGCACGUGGGUCUUUCUGCAGCUCAGGGUGAUGCUGAGCUCAGCAAACAUCCCACAGCAGCACGAUGUCAGGAUGCACACUGCACUCGGAGUGCUGACCCAUUCUCCUCCCUUCAUCCAUUAGGACAGAGUUAUAGAAGCAAAGGGUGACGAAUUAAACACCCGUCCCAGGGCAAUCCAAAAUGCAGCCAUGUAUGACAUUCACAGCUCUUGGUUAUUUAGGGUCAAGCUCCAAAUACAAGGAGGAAAAAUUUGCAGUGCAGUAUUAGUAGAGUGAAAGAAGAAAAAAAAUAAAAGCAGCCUGUCUCGUCUGCUGACGAACGGAAGAUUGGCUGGCUAAAUUCUCCAAAAGCAGCCUUCAAUUUUUUAUCUCGCUAUUUAUAGAAAACUGCAGAAACAGCUGAGCCGCGCGCGGUGAUGUCACGCUGCGGGUAGGACGGCUCGCUCCGCGGCGCAGCCCGCUGCAGGCUGCUGGGGCAGCACACGCCGGCAUUUCUCGGCUCCUCUGAUCGAUCCGGCAUUGAUGGCACUCGCUGACCUUCAGCCCCUCCGCAAUGGCAAUGGGCCGCCGCCGCGUGUUGGCUACCAAUUUUACAAUCGAUCAAAAGUCAUCUUUGUCAAUAAAGCUCCGGGUUGCAAGCAACGGCAAGCAAUUUCUGAAAGGUCAGGGCCACGCUUUUAUUUGCGCGACCCGUGCUUUCAGGCGGCAGCGCAGUCCCUUCCAACCACUAAAAGUAGUAAGAAAAUUUAAGAUUUUUUUUUCCCCCCUUCCAUGUAUUUUUAGUAAGCCUUUGGGCAUUUUCACUGUCCCUAAAAGAAUACGGUUGCAUGGCAACGUCCCCGGUUGCCAUGGAGACUCCAUGUGUAAGCAGCUGCUGCAAUCAGCAUUAACUCCGGGCUCGCAGGAGUCCUGUCUUCAAAUAGUGCAGCAGUGCAGCGGUAAAGGCAAACUAAUUGUGUCUGAGUGUCAAAAAGGCUUCUCUGGCUGA